AAUUAACUCACUUAGAAAUUGUGACUUGUUUUAUAAUACUUUGGAUUUUAAUGUAUUAAACACAAAAAAAUUGAAAGUAGAAAGUUAUUAAAAUUAAGGCAAUAAUUAAAAAAUCACAAAUGUAAAAAAUGCUAAAUAACAUAUGUCCUAUGUCAUUUACAAAAUAUCUUAAAUACAAAAAUAAAUCAUAAUACAAAACACUGAUUUUUCUUCCUACACAAGUCAAAUAGAAAAGUGAUUUGUUGAUUUAUGGAUAAUUAACAACAUCAAUCAUCAGUCCAUCUUUACUGAAAAAAAAAAUCGCAAUAGUUACAACAUGAUCAUUCUGUUUUGGCAGUGAAUAUAGCACACAGGCUGUAUGAAAUAUUGAUCUGUUGUGUGUAAAUUAACAUGUUAAUGCAGUUAGAGUAUAAAACAAUGAACAAAGACAUUUUUGACAAGACAAGUAGAGACACUGCAUCCUACUGCCAGAUAAAGGGUUAAAAGUUUUAGAACAAUAAACUACCUGGAAUAUGGCACAUCACAGACAUUUUUGGUCUUACUGAAUAAAAGAUAAAAUCUGGGCCGUAUUCCAAUAUUUGUUUUUAUUCACCCUUGUCCACCAGCUAAUUAACGCUCUAGCCUUUUAGCAAGCAAGCCACUUAGGAACCUGGCUACAUCCCAUAAUCUUCACUUCACACACCAGCUGCUCAGAAUACUAGACACUCUGUGCUCGUCUGUUAGCAGGCCAUUUAGUUAGCAUGAUGGCACAUUUGUUUGCCUGUCUGGCAUCAACCCAACCCCUAUAUUCAUUACACCUCAGAUUUUUACCUAUGCUAAUCAUGCUAGGUUGCGUGCUAGGAUGCUAGCAAGCUGAUGCUACUGUAGGAAUUGUAGUGGGUAGUUCAGCUACAUCGUUCUCAAUUGAGUGUGUUAUUGUUGAACAAUCCUACACUCAUCCUCUUAUGGUGACUCAUGACAGAACAUCAGCAAGGACAUGUUCACAAAAUUACCGUAACAUUGUAAAGAUGUGUUUGGCAUAAACAAUUCUGAAAUAAAACUCGAUUGAGAGUUUCGAUUAAAACAACUGAGGUAAGAUGAGACAAAAACCAAACCCUAUUAUGCAACAAGAUGAACACGAUAAAUGAGGAAUAUUUCACACUCAAAGAUAAGGAGAUGGCACUGCUGUUUUUAAACACCCAUAUACACACACAAAGAAAUUAUGUAUAGAAAAAAAAUCUAAUUACAGUUUUAUUAUGUGCCAUUUGCUAAAUAUGGGCCGUAUUCAGAGCUGAGUUAAAGGAGAACAGUGAGGAUUCAGUAGUAAAAUUGCGCACAUUGGCAGACUUAAAUGCUAUUCAGAGUUACACCAGAGUUACUCAUGAGGGGCGGAGUUUGUCUAAAACAGAGGCGUGUCUCUGUUCUGCGCAGUUCUAAACUUGUACUUUAUUAAGUUCAGUGUCAUUGUCUGACAGUUUGAUGCAACAACAAUAUGACAUUUGGGUUGUAAAUACCCUUAAAAAAAACAAUGGAAUGUCAUUUGAGGUCAAUAUUAAAUAUAAAUAUGAUAUGACACUAUGAAUUAAUUAAUCUUUAAAGUGCAAAAAAGUUUUUGCAUAGAGGUUGGACAUCAGAGACAUUGCUUAUUUUGAGGACUAACUUUUUAUCAAUUAAACUAUGAAUGGCAUAAAAUGAGCUGUAAUCAUAAAUCCAUUAUUUUAUUAAUUUGAUAACUCAAAAUAUUAAAUUAAAAGUGUGGUAAAAUAGAUUAUAUCAUGCACACACAUUACGACUUCAUGACCUCAAUUCAGUAUUUCAUGGCUUCGUUAAGUUGUGCGCACAAGUAACUGUUGGCACACAACAGAAAAAUAAAAUGCAAAAUAAUAGGAUAUACUGGAUCAAGUGCUAAAUUAUUAGCGUCCAAAUGAGGGUGGAAGCCAUAUUUUUAAGUUAAACCAACUUUGCAGCCUCCUUUACUGCAUGGUGUUGACAUAUGGCAAUUAAUUUAGGUCCAUUUUUUUAUAUCAUACAAAACUACUAUUUUCCUAUGUGACUGGAAAAAGGUGGGGUUUAACUUUGACAUAAGAAAAAAAAUGCCAUGUCACAUGACCAGGAGGAACUGCUUUUUAUCAAUCACAUGGCAUGGCGAAGGUCAUCAUCAGAGGGCUCAAUAUUUAGGCAAAUCUACUUAAAGGGGGGGGGAUGGGAAACUAUUUGAGAUAAGUUAACGUUUAUUUUUUUGUCAUUUAAACAAGUUUAUAUAUUCUUAAUAUUCUGUUAAAUGGUAAAAUGUGAUUGUUGCCAUAUGACAUCAACAUGUGAUAAUGGAACUGUGGUAUGUGCAAUCAUGGAUUGAAACAGGCCUACAUAGCAAACAAUAUACUAGGCUUCUCUAAUAGUUUUUUUUUUUUUUCAUGUUCAAAGUAAGAAAAAACUGUUGUAAUUUUAGACAUUUUGCAAUUGCACCUUAUUUUACGUUUCAACAGAAAGAAUUAAGAAUUCAAGAGAAAGGAUUAAAAAGAUACUUCACCGAAAACAUGUUUGGAUCUAAUUUUUGUAUGUAUUUUGAGUGAGCAAAUCCAUCCACUUACUUUUUACAACUGUAACUCCUUUCUAGAAGAUAUACUUUUACAUGCUUACUGGGUGGCAAAAAAAACUCUGCAACAUAUAGUCUAGAAAGUGAAGUAAUUAGAAUUGUAAUCUUAUUCAUUUUGUGUUUUUUUUUACUUUCCACCAUUGCAGUUUCCACAAUUUACCAACUCCCCCUGAACUGAUUCAAGUAAUAAAAAUCCAUGUUUUUUUUAUGUAAAAUUAAUAAGUCAUGCAGUAGAGGGUUAUUGUGAUAAUUGCAAUAAUCGAUGAUUCAUGCAGAAAAAUACUGGACAUACUGCAUGCCAUCUUCUCAUUCAUAUAAUAUUAUAUUAGUCUAUCUGUUAUAAUAUUUCCCUCCUUAGUCCUAAUUUUCUAUACAUGAUUUAAAGGGAAGUGCUUGUCUUUGGCGUCUCUACCCGGGAAAAAGCUGGCAAACUUGGAAGCAUGAACAGCACAUGUUUGCAUUAUCUGAAUGAAGAGACCAGAAAACAAACUUAAACGCUCUGAAAUUCUGAAAUAGACUUAAACUCUGAAUUCGCAUAACUUUCCCCAGCUUAAGCACUGUUGUAACUUUUGUACUUAAGUCAUCAACUAUGAAUAGGAUCCUAUAUAUUUUAAUAUGCUAAUACAGAGCUCAUAUUGUCCAUCAGGGACUGCGACGAUGUUAUAUAUAUUUUUUUUACGUGCCCACGCACAUGUCAACACUCAUACGGUAACACAGAACUCACAUCAGCUGGGGUGUGAAUGCACAACCUCCUCUGUACAUUCUCUGUCUCUGUACAUUUAUUCUUUUGUUAGAUGAAUAGACUGAAGCUAUAAGCAAAGCUUAUAGCAAAGGGUUCAGCAUUAUGUAAAUUGUACACCUAAAUCCUGACAAUACCAUUUGAUUUAUGCAUAAUAUACAAUAUAUAUCAAAAUAUACAAAUCAAACAGGAACCAUAUUGUCAUCCAAAUUUAUAUAUAUAUAUAUAUAUAUGUACAGUAUGUGCUGAGGAAAGACAUGAUUUGGCUUCAAGAUGGCCACCACUACUGUUUUUAGCUAUGCAUAUCUCUGUGUACUUUUUGACAAAUUUUUAUAGAUAACAGUGUGUCAUGCCCUUUGAUAAAUCACAUCUUUUAGUUUGUUUGUAAACAAAGGCAAUACAAUGGAGUGUGUAACUAGGGAGUUUGCAUCUGGUCACAUAGUUUGCACAAUGCUAAUAUAAAAUGAUGUAUGUUGGCUGGAGUUGUGCGUGGUCAUUUCGUCUCUCAUUGGACCAAGUAAUACUGUGUGGAUACCUCACCUCAAAAAUGUAUUGUGUGUGUAUGUCCGUGUGUUUGUGGAAUCAUUGUGGUGUGUUGGUCCAGUUUGUAAUCCAGUGCUUUUUUUUGUUAGCGUCGUCAAUUAGGAAGCGCUGCUCCCUACACAUCUUCACUCCAUGGUACUUGGGCAUGGUCCGGAAAUAAAGCGCCCGCCUAAAGAACCCACACUAUACACACAUACACACACACACACACACACACACACACACAGAGAAAGAGUUCUGAGUGCAGCCUUCAAAAGUUUAGAACCCAACCAACGUUCUGUAUAAUCUGAAGGAUGCUACACAAUUUGGCCUAAUUUAUUUAAAAAUUCUUUUUGUUAUAGAGCUGAACAGUGAAGGUUUUUGGAGGUAAUGUCUGUGUGAUGACAUACUAAAUGUGAUUAUCAGAUAUAAUGUUUCACCCAAUGUUCACACCAGAAGUGCAUUGCUGAGAAAACAAGGCCAGCCCAGAUGUUGUUCAUUUUCAUUGAGAGUUGGAUAUGUGGCCAUGGGCAAGGUCAAGUCAAGUGAGCAGUGCUUUAUGCAAAUAAGAAAGUAAACGAUGUGAUGAUGAACACUAUGAGUGAGGAACAGUGGGACUCAUUUUCCCCUCCUAUGAAACAGGCAAAUUUUGGGGCUUGGUGGG
ensembl:lncRNA